rnacentral:rRNA from 1 species
GCGUGGGGAGCAAAUAGGAUUAGAUACCCUAGUAGUCCACGCCGUAAACGAUGAGAACUAGGUGUUGGGGGAAUAACUCAGUGCCGCAGUUAACGCAGUAAGUUCUCCGCCUGGGGAGUAUGCACGCAAGUGUGAAACUCAAAGGAAUUGACGGGGGCCCGCACAAGCGGUGGAGUAUGUGGUUUAAUUCGAAGCAACGCGAAGAACCUUACCAGGCCUUGACAUCCCUUGCAGAGGUAUAGAGAUAUAUCCGAGGUUAUCAAGGAGACAGGUGGUGCAUGGUUGUCGUCAGCUCGUGUCGUGAGAUGUUGGGUUAAGUCCCGCAACGAGCGCAACCCUUGUGAUAUGUUACUAACAUUGAGUUGAGGACUCAUAUCAGACUGCCGGUGAUAAACCGGAGGAAGGUGGGGAUGACGUCAAAUCAUCAUGCCCCUUAUGGCCUGGGCUACACACGUACUACAAUGGCGUCUACAAAGAGCGGCAAGCCUGUGAAGGCAAGCGAAUCUCAUAAAGGACGUCUCAGUUCGGAUUGAAGUCUGCAACCCGACUUCAUGAAGCUGGAAUCGCUAGUAAUCGCGAAUCAGCAUGUCGCGGUGAAUACGUUCUCGGGCCUUGUACACACCGCCCGUCACACCAUGAGAGUUGGCAACACCCGAAGCCGGCGGCCCAACCCGCAAGGGAGGGAGCUGUCUAAGGUGGGGCUGAUGAUUGGGGUGAAGUCGUAACAAGGUAUCCCUACGGGAACGUGGGGAUG